UUAAUAUUAGUUGGGCUUAAACCCUCAAUGGCUGGGUGAAAUCAGGUGUAGCGUUUACACUCAAACACCUCAUGUAAACAUGGACAUAGUGUUUUCUAGGAAAGGAGGUAAGGAGGUAAGGAGGUAGUUUAAUGUCGACCAGGGAUUCAGCCUGUGGGCAGAUCGUUUUCUCAAUCUAGGAAAGGAGGUAAGGAGGUAAGGAGGUAAGGAGGUAGUUUAAUGUCGACCAGCGAUUCAGCCUGUGGGCAGAUCGUUUUCUCAAUCUAGGAAAGGAGGUAAGGAGGUAAGGAGGUAAGGAGGUAGUUUAAUGUCGACCAGCGAUUCAGCCUGCGGGCAGAUCGUUUUCUCAAUCUAGGAAAGGAGGUAAGGAGGUAAGGAGGUAGUUUAAUGUAGACCAGGGAUUCAGCCUGUGGGCAGACCGUUUUCUUCAGCG
ensembl:lncRNA